rnacentral:rRNA from 1 species
UACAUACAGUGGGAGCAUCUUUGUGGUGUGACUGCGUACCUUUUGUAUAAUGGGUCAACGACUUACAUUCAGUAGCGAGCUUAACCGAGUAGGGGAGGCGUAGGGAAACCGAGUCUUAAUAGGGCGACUAGUUGCUGGGUGUAGACCCGAAACCGAGUGAUCUAUCCAUGGCCAGGAUGAAGGUGCGGUAAAACGCAUUGGAGGUCCGAACCCACGCAUGUUGCAAAAUGCGGGGAUGAGCUGUGGAUAGGGGUGAAAGGCUAAACAAACUCGGAGAUAGCUGGUUCUCCCCGAAAACUAUUUAGGUAGUGCCUCGAGUAUGAGACUGAUGGGGGUAAAGCACUGUUAUGGC